GGUAUGUUGGUAUAAUCGAUCAGCACACUGAUCGCAAAAAUAAGUGGCGUAGGUUCGAUUCCUACGCGUACUA
rnacentral:tRNA from 1 species